rnacentral:SRP_RNA from 1 species
GCCGGGCGUGGUGGCGGGCGCCUGUAAUCCCAGCUACUCAGGAGGCUGAGGCAGGAGAAUUGCUUGAACCUGGGAGGUGUAGGUUGCAGUGAGCUGAGAUCGCGCCACUGCACUCUAGCCUGGGUGACAGAGCAAGACUCCGUCUCAA